rnacentral:rRNA from 1 species
GAUGAACGCUGGCGGCGUGCUAACACAUGCAAGUCGAACGAGAUGCGUAUUGGAAAGCUUCGGCCGGAAGAUACGUUAUCUAGUGGCGGACGGGUGAGUAACACGUGGGUAACCUGCCUUAUGGAGGGGGAUAACAGAGAGAAAUCACUGCUAAUACCGCAUAAGCACACAGUACCGCAUGGUACAGGGUGAAAAGAUUUAUCGCCAUAAGAUGGACCCGCGUCUGAUUAGCCAGUUGGCAGGGUAAAAGCCUACCAAAGCAACGAUCAGUAGCCGAUCUGAGAGGAUGACCGGCCACAUUGGGACUGAGACACGGCCCAAACUCCUACGGGAGGCAGCAGUGGGGAAUAUUGCACAAUGGGGGGAAACCCUGAUGCAGCGACGCCGCGUGAGUGAAGAAGUAUUUCGGUAUGUAAAGCUCUAUCAGCAGGGAAGAUAAUGACAGUACCUGACUAAGAAGCCCCGGCUAACUACGUGCCAGCAGCCGCGGUAAUACGUAGGGGGCAAGCGUUAUCCGGAUUUACUGGGUGUAAAGGGAGCGUAGACGGAAUGGCAAGUCUGAAGUGAAAUACCCGGGCUCAACCUGGGAACUGCUUUGGAAACUGUUGUUCUAGAGUGUUGGAGAGGUAAGUGGAAUUCCUGGUGUAGCGGUGAAAUGCGUAGAUAUCAGGAAGAACACCGGAGCGAAGGCGGCUUACUGGACAAUAACUGACGUUGAGGCUCGAAAGCGUGGGGAUCAAACAGG